CCUACGGGGGGCAGCAGUGAGGAAUAUUGGUCAAUGGACGAGAGUCUGAACCAACCAAGUAGCGUGAAGGAUGACUGCCCUAUGGGUUGUAAACUUCUUUUAUAUGGGAAUAAAACGUUCCACGUGUGGGAUUUUGUAUGUACCAUAUGAAUAAGGAUCGGCUAACUCCGUGCCAGCAGCCGCGGUAAUACGGAGGAUCCGAGCGUUAUCCGGAUUUAUUGGGUUUAAAGGGAGCGUAGGUGGAUUGUUAAGUCAGUUGUGAAAGUUUGCGGCUCAACCGUAAAAUUGCAGUUGAAACUGGCAGUCUUGAGUACAGUAGAGGUGGGCGGAAUGCGUGGUGUAGCGGUGAAAUGCUUAGAUAUCACGAAGAACUCCGAUUGCGAAGGCAGUUCACUGGACUGCAACUGACACUGAGGCUCGAAAGUGUGGGUAUCAAACAGGAUUAGAUACCCCGGUAGUC
rnacentral:rRNA from 1 species